GAUUUCAACUGAAAAAGUCAUCAACAACAAAGCUGUAUAACUCAUCAAAAUCUAUAACUUUUAUUUUGGUCAUUUCUUCAUCUGAUAAAGUGAUAGUAACAUUGUUCACAAAAUUCAUAUAUCUCUCAUCUGGUUUUAUAAACCAUAACACAGAUAUGUAAAAUUUGUGAAUAAUGUUACUAACACUUUAUCGGAUGAAUAAAUGACAAACAUAAAAGUUAUAGAUCUUGGUGAGUUAUACAACUUUGUUGUUGAUGACUUUUUUAGUUGAAAUC
rnacentral:pre_miRNA from 1 species